GAAGUCACAAAGACCAAGGAUUCAUUAAGACAGUUGAGGACUUAGGGAUCUGCUGUAGGAUGAGUGCUCAGUACUGAGGGCUGUUAUUCCCAGAAAACAUCCUCCUUCUAGAACUAAAGUCCUGCUCCUGUGUUUCCAGGCCUGCUGUACAGCCACAGAGAAACAACUCAUUAGAUUCUGGUGUUUAGGUACCGGUAGGCAGAAGGUGGAGAGAGGAGGAGCAGCCCGUCCUGCCUCCAGAAUGGACCUUGGGGACAGACUAGGCUCAUUCUUACUGAUUCCAGAUCAGAAGAGAGAGAGAGAGCUGCGUGGAGGGGAAGUGCCUUGCUUAAGAACGAGUGACAGACCUCAGUGGAGAUGAUCGAUUCUGCUGUGUCCUCUUAUGACUCCACUGAACAGCCUAGUCCACACCAUGCUCCUCGUUUGAGUGAAGAGAAACCUCCCUGCUUCUCCUGCAUGCUCACCACUCGCUCCUCCAGUUUGAGCCUCACAGCCAGCAGAGUCAUCCUUUUCAAAGGUUCCUUCUUGAAUUCCCGCCCUGACUUCCCUCAGUGACGAACAAUGGCAUGAAAAUAUAAGCCAGAUAAACAC